GUGGGGGCCAAGCAGAUAUUCCAUGAAGAGUUCUGGUAGGUAUAGAAGAACCUCAAGUUCCCUUCAGGCAAUUCAGAAAUGACACAAGUGCUGUGUGCCUCUGGAUCAUUUUGAAAUAGUUUCUAAAAUCCACAGGAGAGUGUUUUGACAGGUCCCCCUCUGUUUCAAAACCCCAAUCAUCUUUGCUCCCCCUGAUGGACAGGACCAGUGAGCCAUGGCUCUCAUGAACCACACAAUCAUGGGUAUAAACAGUCAAUACUCUAAGCUGUAGGGUAUUGAAUGCAUUUUAUGUAUAGUGUGUAUGUGUGUAUUUGUGUGUGUGUGUGUGUGUGUUCACAUCUUUUAAUUCCCAUCCCUCCUCUGCAAAACACACACUUGGAUGUUUAUGAAACAUUCAAUCCUUUAUUAUGAGUCUUUUCAAUGAAUGGGGGGGAACCAUGAUACUCAGGCACUAAAAAGAAGCUUUUUUUAUUCUUCCUUCACUUGUUAUCUAUUAUUUGAUAUCACUGAUGAUAUAGCUGGUGGGAGGUUUUUUUAUUUUUUUAACCAGUGAUAUGAAAUAUACAGUAUAGAACAACUAUCUUCUUCUAUUCAUUCCAAUCUUUUUAAAAUAAUCAUUUACUGUAAUGAAUGCUGGAGACGAGAUUUUCAAAGCAAGCUUUAUUUGCUAGACCCAGAUCUAAUUCAGGGGCCUUGCAUACUCUUGGUCAGUGCUUUGCCACUGAGCCUCAUCCCUUACCCCAUGCAGUUUUGCACUGUUUCAAGCUCCUAGACCAAAAGUGCACAUUUAAUAACACUAGCCAAAUUCAAUUUGUGCAAAGUGGCUCACUGAAAUGUCUUUUUGUUCUACUAUCUGACCAUUGCUCUUGUAAAGUCCUGAACUAACAUAGAUUGUUGAAGGGUAAAAAAAAUAAAAUAAAAAUCUGAACAUGGAUGUCUACCUAAUCAGGAACAUUGUGGGAAUGGCUAAGGAACCUGUCUGCCUCCUUUAGUGUUACCGAGAUAGUUCUUUGACAGAAUUGUUCUUUAAUGGAACCUACAGAUGGACUAGGAGGAAAGCACACACUGCUGUUUGGAGGAGUGAACAGGAAUCAAAUGGAAGUAGUGUGGAGGGCGUAAAAAC
rnacentral:lncRNA from 1 species